rnacentral:rRNA from 1 species
CGCGGUAAUACGUAGAAGACUAGUGUUAUUCAUCUUUAAUGGGUUUAAAGGGUACCUAGACGGCAUAUUAAGCCUUAACUGGUACUGAUAUGCUAGAGUUACUUAUGAGGAAGCUCUAAAGUACUAGAGGAGUAGAGAUAAAAUUCAAUCAUACCUUUUUUCUUUCGAAAAACUUCGGCACAGGUAUAGGUGAAAACAUCUUCUUAUGAGAUAACUGACGUUGAGGGACGAAGGCUUUUUAUAAUGAACAGGAUUAGAUACCCUGGUAGUCAAAGCAGAAAACGCUGAGUGUCAUAGAUUAGAUAUAAAUUUAUUCUAUAAAUGAAAGUGUAAGCACUCCACCUCAAGAGUAAUUUGGCAACAUUGGAACUGAAAUCAUUAGACCGUAUCUGAAACCAGUAGUGAAGUAUGUUAUUUAAUUUGAUAAUCCGCAAAAAACCUUACCACAACUUGAAUAUUUAUAUACUAUUGCUAUAAAUAAUAGUCUGUAAAUACAAGUGUUGCACGGCUGUCUAAAGUUAAUGUCGUAAGAUUAUGGUUAGCUCCGUUAAAUUAACGUAAACCCUUACUUUAUUUUUAAAUAAAGUAGUUCUCCGCUAUAUUGGAUAAGAUAACAGGGAACAAGACAAGUCAUCAUGGCCUUAAUGUUG